ensembl:lncRNA
AAUUAAUCGGCCAUUCCGAUUAAUCGAUCAACCUCUAUUCUGAACUAUGCAAGUCCUGUCUUCUGAUCAUUUCCUCAAUGUUUUUAUAUGUCAGAAUCAUGUAAUUACACAUGAAUAGAAGUUACUUUUGGUUAUGUCUAUUUUGGCAGAAAUCAAUAUUUUGCCAUUUCAUUUUAAGAGGUUUACGAAAUUUCCAGGCAGAGUUAGUUUAUCACCCAUUGACUCCUGGUUUUGGGUGUGGGGGAUGGCUGGUGGGUGAGCUGCUUGAGAGUGCUGUGAGAUGGUGAAGUCACCAGCAGGGGACGUCCUAACACAGGCUUCCUUAUGUAUUGCUACAGAUAGAGAAUUGUCCAAUGGAGGUCCGUGGACAACUCUGCUCGGGGGGCUUCAGGGAUGUCUGGAUUUCACCCACAUUAACAUCAACCAGCACAUGCGUCUGUAUCUGCUGUUCAGACUCCUCCAUUGAGAACUGCAUUGAACUUGUCAAUGUUCAAUAAGAAAAGAUUUUGGGGGCUCUCAUGUGUCUGCAGCAAGACCAGCCCUAAAUUUGGCAAGGAAGCCUGCUCAGGUGAAUCAAAUACAGGCAAAACUGUGAAAAGCUUGGUUUGUGUUGAUCUGUUUUUAUAACAGUAUACCUUAAAUAAUCUUAAGGUAAUUAUACACUACUGUUCAAAGGUUUGGGGUCACUUAGAAAUGUCCUUGUUUUCCAUGAAAACAUACUUGAAAUGAAUUACAAAAUGAAUAGGAAAUAUAUUUAAGACAUUGAUAAGGUUAUACAUUUUUUUUUUUUUUUACAUUUAAAUAAUAAUUAUGUCCUUCAAACUUUGCUUUCGUCAAAGAAUCCUCAAUUUGCAGCAAUUACAGCCUUGCAGACCUUUGGCAUUCUAGUUGUUCAUUUGUUGAGGUAAUCUGAAGAGAUUUCAUCCCAUGCUUCCUGAAGCACCUCAUAUAAGUUGGUUGGCUUGAUGGGCACUUCUUACUGCUGCUUCCACAACAGCUCAAUAGGGUUGAGAUCCAGUGACUGUGCUGGCCACUCCAUCAUAGACAGAAUACCAGCUGAGUACUUCUUCCCUAAAUAGUUAUUGCGUAGUUUGGAGCUGUGCUUUGGGUCAUUGUCCUGUUGUAGGAGGAAAUUGGCUCCAAUUAAGUGCCGCCCACAGGCUAUGGCAUAGCGUUGCAAAAUGGAGUGAUAGCCUUCCUUCUUCAAGAUGCCUUUUACCCUGUACAAAUCUCCCACUUUACCACCACCAAAGCAACCUCAGACCAUCACAUUGCCUCUACCAUGCUUGACAGAUGGCGUCAAGCACUCCUCCAGCAAGCACUCCUCUUACGAAUGUUCUUCUUUGUGAUCCGAACAUUCGUCUGUCCAUAACACAUUUUUCCAAUCUUCCUCUGUCCAGUGUCUGUGUUCUUUUGCCCAUCUUAAUUUUUUAUUUUUAUUGGUCAGUCUGAGAGUCGCCUCUUCACUGUUGACAUUGAGACUGGUGUUUUGCGGGUACUAUUUAAUGAAGCUGCCAGUUGAGGACUUGUGAGGCAUCUGUUUCUCAAACUAGACAAUUUAAUGUACUUGUCCUCUUGCUCAGUUGUGCACCGGGGCCUCCCACUCCUCUUUCUAUUCUGGUUAGAGCCAGUUUGCGCUGUUCUGUGAAGGGAGUAGUACACAGCGUUAUAUGAGAACUUCAGUUUCUUGGCAAUUUCUCGCAUGGAAUAGCCUUCAUUUCUCAGAAAAAGAAUAGACUGACGAGUUUCAGAAGAAAGUUCUUUGUUUCUGGCCAUUUGAGCCUGUAAUCGAACCCACAAAUGCUGAUUCUUCAGAUACUCAACUAGUCUAAAGAAGGCCAGUUUUAUUGCUUCUUUAAUUGACACAACAGUUUUCAACUGUGCUAACAUGAUUGCAAAAGGGUUUUCUAAUGAUCAAUUAGCCUUUUAAAAUUAUAAACAUGGAUUAGUUAACACAACGUGUCAUUGGAAUACAACCCGGGCUGGCAAAACCCUGGAUCGUUGUUAUUCUAACUUCCGCAACGCAUAUAAAGCCCUCCCCCGCCCUCCUUUCGGAAAAUCUGACCGACUCCAUUUUGUUGCUCCCAGCCUAUAGACAGAAACUAAAACAGGAAGCGUCCGUGCUCAGGUCUGUUCAAAGCUGGUCCGACCAAUCGGAUUCGACGCUUCAAGAUUGCU